ACCCGCACAAGCAGCGGAGCGUGUGGUUUAAUUCGAUGCUACACGAAGAACCUUACCAAGGUUUGACAUGCAAGUGGUAGUGAUCUGAAAAGUGAACGACCCUUCGGGGAGCUUGCACAGGUGCUGCAUGGCUGUCGUCAGCUCGUGUCGUGAGAUGUUCGGUUAAGUCCGCUAACGAGCGCAACCCUCACUGUGUGUUAUACGUGUCACACGGGACUGCCGGUUUUUAAGCCGGAGGAAGGCGAGGAUGACGUCAAGUCAGCAUGGCCUUUAUAUCUUGGGCUACACACACGCUACAAUGGUCUGUACAAUAGGUUGCCAAGCCGCGAGGCGGAGCCAAUCCCAAAAAGCCGUUCUCAGUUCGGAUUGGAGUCUGCAACUCGACUCCAUGAAGUUGGAAUCGCUAGUAAUCGUGGAUCAGCAUGCCACGGUGAAUACGUUCCCGGGCCUU
rnacentral:rRNA from 1 species